AAAUAUGCAAAUUUUGGGUGAUUAUGCAUUGAAUUAUGCGAUCGUAUAAUGACGUGUUUUUCUGGAGGAACUGAGUUCAUUGCUGUCUGUGUUUGUGGGAACUCGUUUCAGAGAUGUACGGGAACAAGGACGGGUCCAUCCCGGCCACCUUCGAGAUCCUCUACAUGAUUGGCUGGAAGCCCCACGAGUCCCAGGCCAAACCGGCGAAGCGAGGCUCAGCCAACGUGUCGUUUGGGGAUUUGUCAAAGAUCGACCAGCCAACCAACACGUCGUAGAAGAGCCGACUGAACAGCUGACAUAUUGCAGAUUGUAAAUAAUAGAAAAUAUUUUAACAUCUGUGAUUCCAGGGAUAAACGUGUAGAGGCCAAGUGUUGUAAAGUUGUUGUCUGGAAUAAAGUUGAGCAGUGGAAAACAGAA